GGAGGGAGGCCCUCCAAAGCCGGCCUGCAGGGGCAGGCUUUAAACAACCAUGAGCUGCGUUGGUAAAGAGCCAGGGUGGUGAGCGUCAUGGAAAAGGCGCAUAACAAUGCGUCAUG
rfam:Nitrospirae bacterium RIFCSPLOW2_12_42_9 rifcsplowo2_12_sub10_scaffold_1840, whole genome shotgun sequence.